CAGGGUCCCGCCUUCAGGUGUUUGGGACUCAGCUGAGGGUGUGGGUGCCCCGCGGUGGGGGCUGAACCUUCCUGGGGUGUGGAGAGACGAAAGGAGCCCAGAUCCAAGUUCCCUCGUUCCCGCUUUGGCAUAAGUUGCCCUGGCGGUCUCAUGAGAGAGAGAAAGAGCUGGGACCCUCCUCGCCCCAGUGAGUGUGAUGUCUUGCUCCGGGUGUCCUGGGGCAACUUUCUAUACAGGCGGGACGUGGGAGGAUCAGACAGUGUAACAUCAGACAAGGGUGUUGACUCUGCAGCACAGAACCAGUAGUUUGUGGAGAAGAAUGGAGGUGUGGUGUUGAAUCUGCUAGACAGGCUACUGAAGCAAAAGUCAAGAGAUCCAGAUUCCAUCAUGGGGACACUUUAGUUCUUCAUCGGGUAAUUGAGCUGAUAUCAGGUGUCUGAAGGAGGCAAGUUUUGAAGAUGUGGGUCAUGAUGGCUGCUGAAGCUUCCACUCCAUAUUUGAAGGUCAGCAGUUCUCAGGAAACCUCUAGCACUUCCAUCCCUGGUGGGAUGUGAUGCCUGUCUCAGGU
rnacentral:lncRNA from 1 species